rnacentral:rRNA from 1 species
UACGUAGGGUGCGAGCGUUUAAUCGGAAUUACUGGGCGUAAAGCGUGCGCAGGCGGUUAUUUAAGUCAGGUGUGAAAGCCCUGGGCUUAACCUAGGAAUUGCGCUUGAGACUGGAUAGCUUGGAGUGCGGCAGAGGGGGGGUGGAAUUCCACGUGUAGCAGUGAAAUGCGUAGAGAUGUGGAGGAACACCGAUGGCGAAGGCAGCCUCCUGGGCCAGCACUGACGCUCAUGCACGAAAGCGUGGGGAGCAAACAGG